CCGUCUAUUGGUGCGAUAAUUAUCUACGCCGUGGAUCGGUUUGGCUUUCAGACCNAGNUUCUAACCGUCCUUAGGACAAUUCUUGACAUUUUUGCCCUCAGAUCAAGUAGGACUACCCGCUGCACUUAAGCAUAUCAAUAAGCGGANGAAAAGAAACUAACAAGGAUUCCCCUAGUAACUGCGAGUGAAGCGGGAAAAGCUCAAAUUUAAAAUCUGAUGGUCUUUGGCCGUCCGAGUUGUAAUCUAGAGAAGUGUUACCCGUGCCAGNCCGUGUAUAAGUCUCCUGGAAUGGAGCGUCAUAGAGGGUGAGAAUCCCGUCUUUGACACGGACUACUGGUGCUUUUGUGGUGCGCUCUCAAAGAGUCGAGUUGUUUGGGAAUGCAGCUCAAAAUGGGUGGUAAAUUCCAUCUAAAGCUAAAUAUUGGCGAGAGACCGAUAGCGAACAAGUACCGUGAGGGAAAGACGAAAAGAACUUUGGAAAGAGAGUUAAACAGUACGUGAAAUUGCUGAAAGGGAAACGCUUGAAGUCAGUCGCGUUGGCCGGAAAUCAACCCUGCUUUUGCUGGGCGUACUUUCUGGUCGACGGGCCAACAUCAGUUUUGACCGGUGGAAAAAGUCUAGGGGAAUGUGGCAUCUUCGGAUGUGUUAUAGCCCUUGGUCGUAUACAUCGGUUGGGACUGAGGAACUCAGCACGCCGCAAGGCCGGGUCUUUGACCACGUUCGUGCUUAGGAUGUUGGCAUAAUGGCUUUNNNNNNACCCGUCUUGAAACACGGACCAAGGAGUCUAACAUGCCUGCGAGUAUUUGGGUGGAAAACCCGAGUGCGUAAUGAAAGUGAUAGUUGAGAUCCCUGUCGUGGGGAGCAUCGACGCCCGGACCAGACGUUCUCUGACGGCUCCGAGGUAGAGCAUGUAUGUUGGGGACCCGAAAGAUGGUGAACUAUGCCUGAAUAGGGUGAAGCCAGAGGAAACUCUGGUGGAGGCUCGUAGCGAUUCUGACGUGCAAAUCGAUCG
rnacentral:rRNA from 1 species